rnacentral:rRNA from 1 species
CCUACGGGAGGCAGCAGUGGGGAAUUUUGGACAAUGGGCGCAAGCCUGAUCCAGCAAUGCCGCGUGAGUGAAGAAGGCCUUCGGGUUGUAAAGCUCUUUUGUCAGGGAAGAAACGGUGGGGGCUAAUAUCCUUUGCUAAUGACGGUACCUGAAGAAUAAGCACCGGCUAACUACGUGCCAGCAGCCGCGGUAAUACGUAGGGUGCAAGCGUUAAUCGGAAUUACUGGGCGUAAAGCGUGCGCAGGCGGUUUUGUAAGUUUGUCGUGAAAUCCCCGGGCUCAACCUGGGAAUGGCGAUGAAGACUGCAAGGCUAGAAUCUGGCAGAGGGGGGUAGAAUUCCACGUGUAGCAGUGAAAUGCGUAGAGAUGUGGAGGAACACCGAUGGCGAAGGCAGCCCCCUGGGUCAAGAUUGACGCUCAUGCACGAAAGCGUGGGGAGCAAACAGGAUUAGAUACCCUGGUAGUCCACGCCCUAAACGAUGUCUACUAGUUGUCGGGUUUUAAUUAACUUGGUAACGCAGCUAACGCGUGAAGUAGACCGCCUGGGGAGUACGGUCGCAAGAUUAAAACCUUAANAAGAGAGUAGACGNGNGAGAGCGACGACGACGACGACGAGGAGAGG